rnacentral:rRNA from 1 species
AGCAGCCGCAGUAAUUCCAGCUCCAAUAGCGUAUAUUAAAGUUGUUGCAGUCAAAAAGCUCGUAGUUGAAUUUCAGGGUUAGUAGGUUGGUCGUGCCUAUGGUAUGUACUGGCUUUACUGAUUCCUUCUUCUUGAAGAACUGUAAUGUCAUUAAUUUGGUGUUGCAGGACUGUUGCAGGGAAACAGGACUGUUACUUUGAAAAAAUUAGAGUGUUUAAAGCAGGCUAACGCUUGAAUACAUUAGCAUGGAAUAAUGAAAUAGGACGUUUGAUCCUAUUUUGUUGGUUUCUAGGAUUGACGUAAUGAUUAAUAGGGAUAGUUGGG